AUAUUGCUUCAAGCAGUUUUAUAACAUUGGAAGGUAUGAGGAAGAGUUUAGCCCAAUAAGCUUGAAUACCAAAGAUAACUGAUUGUACCAACUGGAUUCUACCAGCAUAUGAUAGUUGCCUAGCAGUCCAGGAUGUAAUCCUGGCAGUAAUCUUGUCGACCAGUGGUUGCCAUUGAAAAACAGUCUGCUUCUUGGUAGCCAAA
rnacentral:lncRNA from 1 species